GCGGAACACACGUCAUUUGGUUUUGAAUCCAAUCCAACAUCCUUUUAACGUUUUGACCCGACCCUCUCCCUCUCUCCCUCCUUCUUCUUCCGUCCUUCUCCUGCGAUCUGAUUCUUGUCUCAGAAUUUAAAGUGACGUGAUCAGUUUAUUGACCAGAUGGAUUUAGUUGCAAAGUACCAGGGUGUAGUUGGAAGGGUGUUUGGUAAUGAGAACUCCGGUUCAAGUGAAGAUAGCUAUGUCGAACGCUUGCUUGACCGGAUUAGCAACGGU